rnacentral:rRNA from 1 species
CCUACGUGUGGCAGCAGUGGGGAAUAUUGGACAAUGGGCGGAACCCUGAUCCAGCGACGCCGCGUGAGUGAAGAAGUAUCUCGGUAUGUAAAGCUCUAUCAGCAAGGAAGUAGAAAUGACGGUACCUGAGUAAGAAGCCCCGGCUAACUACGGGCCAGCAGCCGCGGUAAUACGGAGGGGGCAAGCGUUAUCCGGAAUUACUGGGUGUAAAGGGAGCGUAGACGGUGAUGUAAGUCUGGAGUGAAAGGCUGGGGCUCAACCCCCGGAUUGCUCUGGAAACUAUGUGACUGGAGUGCAGGAGAGGUGAGCAGAAUUCCUAGUGUAGCGGUGAAAUGCGUAGAUAUUAGGAGGAACACCAGUGGCGAAGGCGGCUCACUGGACUGUAACUGACGUUGAGGCUCGAAAGCGUGGGGAGCAAACAGGAUUAGAUACCCUGGUAGUC